AUCUUGCGCAAUGGACGAAAGUCUGACGCAGCCACGCCGCGUGAGUGAAGAAGGCCCUCGGGUCGUAAAGCUCUGUCGGGCGGGACGAAAAUGCCUUCGGUGAAUAGCCGGAGGUACUGACGGUACCGCCAAAGGAAGCACCGGCUAACUUCGUGCCAGCAGCCGCGGUAAUACGAGGGGUGCAAGCGUUGCUCGGAAUUAUUGGGCGUAAAGGGUAGGUAGGUGGUCUCGUUUGUCAGGGGUGAAAGCCUUGGGCUUAACCCAAGAAGUGCCUCUGAAACGGCGAGACUCGAGUUCUGGAGAGGGUCGUGGAAUUCCCGGUGUAGCGGUGAAAUGCGUAGAGAUCGGGAGGAACACCAGAGGCGAAGGCGGCGACCUGGACAGAUACUGACACUGAACUACGAAAGCGUGGGGAGCAAACAGG
rnacentral:rRNA from 1 species